AGUGAACGCUGGCGGUAGGCCUAACACAUGCAAGUCGAACGGCAGCACAGUAAGAGCUUGCUCUUACGGGUGGCGAGUGGCGGACGGGUGAGGAAUACAUCGGAAUCUACUUUUUCGUGGGGGAUAACGUAGGGAAACUUACGCUAAUACCGCAUACGACCUACGGGUGAAAGCAGGGGAUCUUCGGACCUUGCGCGAUUGAAUGAGCCGAUGUCGGAUUAGCUAGUUGGCGGGGUAAAGGCCCACCAAGGCGACGAUCCGUAGCUGGUCUGAGAGGAUGUUCAGCCACACUGGAACUGAGACACGGUCCAGACUCCUACUGGAGGCAGCAGUGGGGAAUAUUGGACAAUGGGCGCAAGCCUGAUCCAGCCAUACCGCGUGGGUGAAGAAGGCCUUCGGGUUGUAAAGCCCUUUUGUUGGGAAAGAAAAGCAGCAGGUUAAUACCCCGCUGUUCUGACGGUACCCAAAGAAUAAGCACCGGCUAACUUCGUG
rnacentral:rRNA from 1 species